AUUGAACGCUGGCGGCAGGCCUAACACAUGCAAGUCGAACGAGUGGCGGACGGGUGAGUAAUGUCUGGGAAACUGCCUGAUGUAGGGGGAUAACUACUGGAAACGGUAGCUAAUACCGCAUACCCUCGGAUGUGCCCAGAUGGGAUUAGUUAGUAGGUGGGGGAAAGGCUCACCUGGGCGACGAUCCCUAGCUGGUCUGAGAGGAGGACCAGCCACACUGGAACUGCGACACGGUCCAGACUCCUAAGGGAGGCAGCAGUGGGGAACAUUGCACAAUGGGGGCAAGCCUGAUGCAGCCAUGCCGCGGGUAUGAAGAAGUCCUUCGGGUUGUAAAGUACUUUCAGCGGGGAGGCGUUACCCGCAGAAGAAGCACCGGCUAACUCCGUGCCAGCAGCCGCGGUAAUUC
rnacentral:rRNA from 1 species